CAAAAGUUCUGCCGUCGCAGGCCAACAUCUUCUCAGCGAGCUGUCACGGCCCGCGUCCAAAUGGAGGCAAUUAGCCGCCGCCACCGCCGCGCGUCUCACCCUCAAGCCGCGCCGCCGUGGCGGCUACAAAAUGUGGCCUCAUCGGAUCCGGACCCUCCUAAAUCCCCCUGCUAACCGCCCAUCAAGCCCCUCAAGUUCACAACCGCUGCCAACAACACGAGAGAUGCAAAAAACCAAGUCAAACAACGGCUAACGGUGAGCAAAUCAAC